GAAAGGGCUGCUAAUACCCCAUGUGGUCGUACAGGUUAGAGGCUGAACGACUAAAGGAGCAAUCCACUUCGGGAGGGGCCUGCGUCCCAUCAGCUAGUUGGUAAGGUAACGGCCUACCAAGGCGAAGACGGGUAGGGGGCCUGAGAGGGUGGCCCCCCACACUGGCACUGAAACACGGGCCAGACACCUACGGGUGGCAGCAGUAGGGAAUAUUGCACAAUGGGCGAAAGCCUGAUGCAGCAACGCCGCGUGCGCGAAGAAGGCCUUCGGGUUGUAAAGCGCUUUUCUGGAGGAAGAGGAAGGACGGUACUCCAGGAAUAAGGAUCGGCUAACUACGUGCCAGCAGCCGCGGUAACACGUAGGAUCCGAGCGUUAUCCGAAUUUACUGGGCGUAAAGCGCGUGUAGGCGGCUGGGUAAGUUGGACGUGAAAGCUCCUGGCUCAACUAGGAGAGGUCGUUCAAAACUGCCUGGCUAGAGGGCGACAGANGGAGGUGGAAUUCCCGGUGUAGUGGUG
rnacentral:rRNA from 1 species